GAAAUACAUGGCGAGCUCGCGGGCAGUUGCGCUGCCGCGAAUAUAUCAUGUUAUUACUUUAAACAGUUCAGAAACAUCUGAUUUUAGCUCUUGGUGUGUUCUAACGUGUGAAUUGCGUGCAAUCGCCGUUUUAAAAGGUCUUAAAUAAGAAUGAAUUCGCUCGUUGUGAGCUCCGUGGAGACAGACUGAGCUGAGCAGCAGUGAUUCUUCUCUCGUCUUUCUGACUGCUCUCUGCCCAGAAAUAAAUUAUUAAUGAGCCCUGACCCCUGUAAUAAUCAGAUAUGUUGGUUUAGCUUGUCAGUUUGAAGGAAAUUGUAUUAUUUACUUGUAUUUUUAACGGUUUAAAAGUGAAACGAAACCCGACUCCGCCCCUAAAUCUCAUUGCAACUGUAGGGGCGCAAUUUUUCUCAGACAAUGUAAGUCUAUGGGUAAUGAAUUUUGACAUUUAAAAAUUAAUAAAAAAAAAACUUUAAGUCUGAUCAGUCUGAAAAGAUAUAGCAACCAGCACCGCUCUAUCCCGCAGGUGUCUGCCGAGUUUGGGGCUUGUGGCUUUAAAGCCCUAGGAGGAGUAGCGUUUAGAAUUUCUGUCAGAAAAAUAAUAAUAAGAAAAAGAAGAAGUUUAAAUAGCAUAACAGUAUGUUGGCUUGUUGCCAAGCCAACAUAA